rnacentral:rRNA from 1 species
GUCCUGUUCAGGACGAACGCUGGCGGCGCGCCUAACACAUGCAAGUCGAACGAGCGAGAGGAGGUUUACUUUCUCAAGCGAGUGGCGAACGGGUGAGUAACGCGUGAGGAACCUGCCUCAAAGAGGGGGACAACAGUUGGAAACGACUGCUAAUACCGCAUAAGCCCACGACCCGGCAUCGGGUAGAGGGAAAAGGAGCAAUCCGCUUUGAGAUGGCCUCGCGUCCGAUUAGCUAGUUGGUGAGGUAAUGGCCC